rnacentral:rRNA from 1 species
CCUACGGGUGGCAGCAGUGGGGAAUAUUGCACAAUGGGGGAAACCCUGAUGCAGCGACGCCGCGUGAGUGAAGAAGUAUUUCGGUAUGUAAAGCUCUAUCAGCAGGAACGAGACAAGACGGUACCUGACUAAGAAGCCCCGGCUCACUACGUGCCAGCAGCCGCGGUAAUACGUAGGGGGCAAGCGUUAUCCGGAAUCACUGGGGGUAAUGGGAGCGUAGGCGGCUGAGCAAGCCUGAAGUGAAAGUCGGGGGGCCAACCCCCGGACUGCUUGGGGAACUGUACGGCUGGAGUGCAGGAGAGGUAAGUGGAAUUCCUAGUGUAGCGGUGAAAUGCGUAGAUAUUAGGAGGAACACCAGUGGCGAAGGCGGCUUACUGGACUGUAACUGACGUUGAGGCUCGAAAGCGUGGGGAGCAAACAGGAUUAGAUACCCGGGUAGUC